rnacentral:tRNA from 1 species
GGUAAAAUGGCCGAGAAUAGGUGGCGGGUUGUAAUUCCGUUUAGGGGAGUAAGAGUCUCUCUUU